rnacentral:lncRNA from 1 species
UUCCAAGUCUUUGCUAUUGUGAAUAAUGCCACAAUAAACAUACGUGUGCAUGUGUCUUUAUAGCAGCAUGAUUUAUAGUCCUUUGGGUAUAUACCCAGUAAUGGGAUGGCUGGGUCAAAUGGUAUUUCUAGUUCUAGAUCCCUCAUCAACCUUUUUAAAAAGCAUUUAGGAGCUGCUGGUUGUAAAUGAUCACUGAGAAAUAGUAUUUCCCUCACUUGUAGCCAUCUGCUUCUCUUUUUGGUUCUGGAACAUUCUAGAACCUUGGAAGGUGGCUGGGGCUGAGUCUCAGCCAGCAGGGUUGCCCAGUGCCCCUUGUCACCCCCCGAGCAACACAAGCCAGGCUGCGGUUACUCUGGGUCUGUGCAUCUGGGAUCAUAGUUUUUAAAUCUGCCCCAGGGUCCUCCAGUCCCAGCUGUGGAAAGUCACCCUCAGAGGGUGAGGCGGGUGGCGCGCCUCUGUGUGAGUGGCCCCAUCCUUCACAGCGAGUUUGUGUCUACUGAAUCGCAGACUCUUGGAGGCUGAAGGGUUACAGGAGGUCGUGUGUCUCACGUCGCCACUUCACGGUUGAGGACCUCGUGACCCGCUUUGCUCAGUGGCUGCGCAAGAUGAGUAAUGACCUGAAACAGGGAAAAUGUCUUGGAUACAUCUUGCGUAAUGAGGAGAAAAAUGCAGCCAUGUUGCAGCCUGAUGAAAUACUCUGCCAGUAUCCUGCCAUAAAAUGACAGGCGAAUUUUCAGUAACAGAUUCUCUAAUAGUUCUAUGGUCUUCUAGAUGCUAAACUGUUUAAGUAUCUACAUUUUCUAAGCCCGCCUAAUGGAAAUAUUCUCAAAAAACAUAAACCCUUCAUUCUUUCUCAAAUAGGUUACAUUAGUUAUAAUAUACACUCUGGAGGUGACUUGACCCAUCAUUGUGAACAACUAUUGCUCUUGGACGACCCAGGACUUAGGCCAGCCAACAUCUAGGCUUGCUGUCAAGGCUUCUGAUCAACAUGAGAUGACCGCCGUGUGGUAAACUGAUGAACCCCGACCCUGAUCAACGUGAGAUGACCGCCGUGUGGUAAACUGAUGAACCCCGACCCUGAUGAACAUGAGAUGACCGCCGUGUGGUAAACUGAUGAACCCCGACCCUGAUCAACAUGAGAUGACCGCCGUGUGGUAAACUGAUGAACCCCGACCCUGAUCAACAUGAGAUGACCGCCGUGUGGUAAACUGAUGAACCCCGACCCUGAUGAACGUGAGAUGACCGCCGUGUCGUAAACUGAUGAACCCCGACCCUGAUGAACGUGAGAUGGCCGCCGUGUGGUAAACUGAUGAACCCCGACCCUGAUGAACGUGAGAUGGCCGCCGUGUGGUAAACUGAUGAACCCCGACCCUGAUGAACGUGAGAUGGCCGCCGUGUGGUAAACUGAUGAACCCCGACCCUGAUGAACGUGAGAUGACCGCCGUGUGGUAAACUGAUGAACCCCGACCCUGAUGAACGUGAGAUGGCCGCCGUGUGGUAAACUGAUGAACCCCGACCCUGAUCAACGUGAGAUGGCCGCCGUGUGGUAAACUGAUGAACCCCGACCCUGAUGAACAUGAGAUGGCCGCCGUGUGGUAAACUGAUGAACCCCGACCCUGAUGAACGUGAGAUGACCGCCGUGUGGUAAACUGAUGAACCCCGACCCUGAUGAACGUGAGAUGACCGCCGUGUGGUAAACUGAUGAACCCCGACCCUGAUCAACGUGAGAUGGCCGCCGUGUGGUAAACUGAUGAACCCCGACCCUGAUGAACGUGAGAUGGCCGCCGUGUGGUAAACUGAUGAACCCCGACCCUGAUGAACGUGAGAUGGCCGCCGUGUGGUAAACUGAUGAACCCCGACCCUGAUGAACGUGAGAUGGCCGCCGUGUGGUAAACUGAUGAACCCCGACCCUGAUCAACGUGAGAUGGCCGCCGUGUGGUAAACUGAUGAACCCCGACCCUGAUGAACGUGAGAUGGCCGCCGUGUGGUAAACUGAUGAACCCCGACCCUGAUGAACGUGAGAUGGCCGCCGUGUGGUAAACUGAUGAACCCCGACCCUGAUCAACGUGAGAUGGCCGCCGUGUGGUAAACUGAUGAACCCCGACCCUGAUGAACGUGAGAUGGCCGCCGUGUGGUAAACUGAUGAACCCCGACCCUGAUGAACGUGAGAUGGCCGCCGUGUGGUAAACUGAUGAACCCCGACCCUGAUGAACGUGAGAUGGCCGCCGUGUGGUAAACUGAUGAACCCCGACCCUGAUGAACGUGAGAUGGCCGCCGUGUGGUAAACUGAUGAACCCCGACCCUGAUGAACGUGAGAUGGCCGCCGUGUGGUAAACUGAUGAACCCCGACCCUGAUCAACGUGAGAUGACCGCCGUGUGGUAAACUGAUGAACCCCGACCCUGAUCAACGUGAGAUGACCGCCGUGUGGUAAACUGAUGAACCCCGACCCUGAUCAACGUGAGAUGGCCGCCGUGUGGUAAACUGAUGAACCCCGACCCUGAUGAACGUGAGAUGGCCGCCGUGUGGUAAACUGAUGAACCCCGACCCUGAUCAACAUGAGAUGACCGCCGUGUGGUAAACUGAUGAACCCCGACCCUGAUGAACAUGAGAUGGCUGCCGUGUGGUAAACUGAUGAACCCCGACCCUGAUGAACAUGAGAUGACCGCCGUGUGGUAAACUGAUGAACCCCGACCCUGAUGAACAUGAGAUGGCCGCCGUGUGGUAAACUGAUGAACCCCGACCCUGAUGAACGUGAGAUGGCCGCCGUGUGGUAAACUGAUGAACCCCGACCCUGAUCAACAUGAGAUGACUGCCGUGUGGUAAACUGAUGAACCCCGACACUGAUCAACAUGAGAUGGCCGCUGUGUGGUAAACUGAUGAACCCUGGCCCAUUAGGCUUUGGCUACAGAAUGUGGAAAUAAGUUGUGUUACUACAUGUGUGUAAUCCUAGGGUUCAGGACACAGGCUGGGAGGUUCCAUAGAGUGAUGGGUUGUGCAGGUAACUCAUCCUCUAGUCCUCUGUAAGCUCCUAGAAGGAAGAAAUUAUGUCCUUUAGACUAAUAAAAUUCCUCCAAACCAAAUACAGCACCUACUGUGAAGACA